CUCAGGAUGAACGCUAGCGGCAGGCUUAACACAUGCAAGUCGAGGGGUAAGUUCCGCUUCGGUGGAAACACGACCGGCGCACGGGUGAGUAUCGCGUUUGCAAUCUACCUCUAACUGGGGGAUAGCCCGGAGAAAUUCGGAUUAAUACCCCAUAUUGUUAAAAUUUCGCAUGAAAUUUUGACGGAAGCUCCGGCGGUUAGAGAUGAGCAUGCGUGCCAUUAGUUUGUUGGUGAGGUAACGGCUCACCAAGGCAGCGAUGGCUAGGGGGUCUGAGAGGAUGAUCCCCCACACUGGUACUGAGACACGGACCAGACUCCUACGGGAGGCAGCAGUGAGGAAUACUGGUCAAUGGGCGAAAGCCUGAACCAGCCAUGCCGCGUGCAGGAUGACGGCCCUAUGGGUUGUAAACUGCUUUUCUGCUCCAAGAACCCCACUUACGUGUAAGUGGUUGACGGUAGAGCAGGAAUAAGCAUCGGCUAACUCCGUGCCAGCAGCCGCGGUAAUACGGAGGAUGCAAGCGUUAUCCGGAUUUAUUGGGUUUAAAGGGUGCGCAGGCGGAUUAAUAAGUCAGUAGUGAAAUCCUGCAGCUUAACUGUAGAAUUGCUAUUGAUACUGUUAAUCUUGAGUACAGUUGAGGUAGGCGGAAUGUAUGAUGUAGCGGUGAAAUGCUUAGAUAUCAUACAGAACACCAAUUGCGAAGGCAGCUUACUAAACUGUAACUGACGCUGAGGCACGAAAGCGUGGGGAGCGAACAGGGUUAGAUACCCUGGUAGUCCACGCUGUAAACGAUGAUCACUCGCUGUUGGCAAUACAUCGUCAGUGGCUGAGCAAAAGCAUUAAGUGAUCCACCAGGGGAGUACGUCGGCAACGAUGAAACUCAAAGGAAUUGACGGAGGCCCGCACAAGCGGUGGAGCAUGUGGUUUAAUUCGAAGCAACGCGCAGAACCUUACCCACGUUUGACAUGCCCGGUUUGGUCGCCAGAGAUGGCUUCCUUCAUUUAGUUGGCCGGUGCACAGGUGCUGCAUGGCUGUCGUCAGCUCGUGUCGUGAGAUGUUGGGUUAAGUCCCGCAACGAGCGCAACCCUCAUCCUUAGUUGCCAGCACGUCUGGGUGGGCACUCUAAGGAAACUGCCGGUGGCAAGCCGGAGGAAGGUGGGGAUGACGUCAAGUCCUCAUGGCCCUUACGCGUGGGGCUACACACGUGCUACAAUGGCCGAUACAGAGGGAUAAUCCCU
rnacentral:rRNA from 1 species